rnacentral:rRNA from 1 species
AGUGAACGCUGGCGGUAGGCCUAACACAUGCCAGUCGAACGGCAGCACAGUAAGAGCUUGCUCUUACGGGUGGCGAGUGGCGGACGGGUGAGGAAUACAUCGGAAUCUACUUUUUCGUGGGGGAUAACGUAGGGAAACUUACGCUAAUACCGCAUACGACCUACGGGUGAAAGCAGGGGAUCUUCGGACCUUGCGCGAUUGAAUGAGCCGAUGUCGGAUUAGCUAGUUGGCGGGGUAAAGGCCCACCAAGGCGACGAUCCGUAGCUGGUCUGAGAGGAUGAUCAGCCACACUGGAACUGAGACACGGUCCAGACUCCUACGGGAGGCAGCAGUGGGGAAUAUUGGACAAUGGGCGCAAACCUGAUCCAGCCAUACCGCGUGGGUGAAGAAGGCCUUCGGGUUGUAAAGCCCUUUUGUUGGGAAAGAAAAGCAGCAGGUUAAUACCCCGCUGUUCUGACGGUACCCAAAGAAUAAGCACCGGCUAACUUCGUG